rnacentral:rRNA from 1 species
UACAGAGGGGGCAAGCGUUGUUCGGAUUUACUGGGCGUAAAGGGCGCGUAGGCGGCCUGUUAAGUCGAACGUGAAAUCCCCGGGCUCAACCCGGGAACUGCGUCCGAUACUGGCAGGCUUGAAUCCGGGAGAGGGAUGCGGAAUUCCAGGUGUAGCGGUGAAAUGCGUAGAUAUCUGGAGGAACACCGGUGGCGAAGGCGGCAUCCUGGACCGGCAUUGACGCUGAGGCGCGAAAGCCAGGGGAGCAAACGGG